rnacentral:rRNA from 1 species
UAUGAGGGGGGCGAGCGUUGUUCGGAAUUAUUGGGCGUAAAGGGUGCGUAGGCGGUUUUGUAAGUCUUAUGUGAAAUCUAUGGGCUCAACUCAUAGACUGCAUGAGAAACUGCAGGGCUUGAGUAUGGGAGAGGUGAGUGGAAUUCCUGGUGUAGCGGUGAAAUGCGUAGAUAUCAGGAGGAACACCUGUGGCGAAAGCGGCUCACUGGACCAUAACUGACGCUGAUGCACGAAAGCUAGGGGAGCAAACAGG